rnacentral:misc_RNA from 1 species
GAACGCACCUUGCGCCCUUUGGCCAUUCCGAAGGGCAUGCCUGUUUGAGUAUCAUGAACACCUCAACUCUUCAUGGUUUUCCAUGAUGAGUUUGGACUUUGGGGGUUUUGCUGGCCCUACGGUCAGCUCCUCUGAAAUAAAUCAGCUUGCCAGUGUUUGGUGGGUAUCAUAGGUGUGAUAACUAUCUACGCUUGUGGUUCUUCCACCAGGUAACCUUCAGCAGUGGAGGUUCACUGGAGCUCACAGACGUCUCUCCUCAGUGAGGACAGCCCUUUGAAUGUUUGAUCUCAAAUCAGGUAGGACUACCCGCUGAACUUA